rnacentral:rRNA from 1 species
UCUAUAAUCCGUAACGCUCUGGCUGUGCCCAAUCUCAUCUGAUCUUGGAAGAUAAGCAGGGUCGGGCCUGGUUAGUAUUCGAGGAAAGAUUCAUGGAGAAGAAUGUGGUUAAGGAA